UACGGAGGGUGCAAGCGUUAAUCGGAAUUACUGGGCGUAAAGGGCUCGUAGGUGGCCAACUAAGUCAGACGUGAAAUCCCUCAGCUUAACUGGGGAACUGCGUCUGAUACUGGAUGGCUUGAGUUUGGGAGAGGGAUGCGGAAUUCCAGGUGUAGCGGUGAAAUGCGUAGAUAUCUGGAGGAAUACCGGUGGCGAAGGCGGCAUCCUGGACCAUUACUGACGCUGAGGCGCGAAAGCUAGGGGAGCAAACGGG
rnacentral:rRNA from 1 species